GUCAGGAUGGUCAAGCGGUCUAAGGCAUUGUGUUCAGGCUGCAGUCUAACCUGGAGGAGUGGGUUUGAAUCCCAUUUCUGACA
rnacentral:tRNA from 1 species